ensembl:lncRNA
GCACUAAGCACAUUUGCAAUUUUGCCUUUGAACAUCCAAGUUCUGGGAGUGCUGCUUUCCAGUCUUGCUUCACACUUUCAUGGAACUGCUGCUAAAAAAAAAGAUGUGUAAGAAAGAUGUCGAUACGUCUCCUGUUGAGCAGUAUGAAUGUAUGUUGCUAGAAGCCUAGAGAAAUCUCAUGGACAGCCACAGACUCCCAGGGCAAUCUGUGUGAACCACUGAAGCAACCUGUGUUGACUCUUCACAGUGUUAGAUGUGCUUCCUAUGAAUCACCUCAUGCAAACAUGAAGAUGGGAAAAGCAUCUGAGAAUGGUUUUAUCUCAGGCCGAGUUUGUUACAAGCAGAAGAUUUGUCGAAGUCAAUAGCUCUGGGGAACCUGGCUAACAGAAGCCAACUACUCUCAAGGAACACCACUUCAAGCCAAGCUUGUCCUGCCCAGUGAAGCAUGUAGUGAAGAGCCGG